rnacentral:rRNA from 1 species
AUGACAAUUAAUAAGAGCCAGGGAGAGACAUUGGCAUGUGUUGGUAUAUAUCUUAAGAGUCCUGUAUUUAUGCAUGGUCAGUUGUAUGUGGCAGUGUCUCGUGUUACUUCGAGAGGUUUGCUGAAGAUUCUUAUAUUGGACACUGAUGGCAAAUGUAGCUCUAAGACAAAAAACAUUGUUUUCCCUGAGGUCUUUAGGGCCGCGGGGAUGACUUAG